GAUAAAGAGAGACAUCCUGCACACAGACUUCAUGUUCCACCACUUUAAUGUGAAUCUUCCUCUGAGCCGUCUGUCAAGCUUUCAUGGAAAUGUGUUUGAGUUCUUCAGCUGAUGAAACAUAAUCACAGUCGUUAUUUCAGACAGCAAGACUUUCAGCAGAUAUCUUGCUGCUCUCCAGUUGAGUUUCCUGUGAUGAUUCCAGCAGAGACAUUUUGACAACAUCUG